rnacentral:rRNA from 1 species
UACGUAGGGGGCAAGCGUUGUCCGGAUUUAUUGGGCGUAAAGAGCGUGUAGGCGGCUAGGUAGGUCCGUUGUGAAAACUCGAGGCUCAACCUCGAGACGCCGAUGGAAACCAUCUGACUAGAGUCCGGAAGAGGAGAGUGGAAUUCCUGGUGUAGCGGUGAAAUGCGCAGAUAUCAGGAGGAACACCUGUGGCGAAAGCGGCUCACUGGACUGGUAUUGACGCUGAGGUGCGAAAGCGUGGGGAGCAAACAGG